UAUUUAAGUUGUUGCAGUUAAAAAGCCUCGUAGUUGGAUUUCGGGUGGGCUGCGGCGGUCUCCGAACGGUAGUACUGCCGACGCCCGCCUUGCUGCCGGGGACGCGCUCCUUGCUUCAUUGUCGGGGACGCGGAAUCGGCGACGUUACUUUGAGUAAAUUGGAGUGUUCAAAGCAAGCCUACGCUCUGAACAUAAUAGCAUGGGAUAACACGACAGGACUCUGGCCUAUCGUGUUGGUCUGUAGGACCAGAGUAAUGAUUAAGAGGGACAGUCGGGGGCAUUCGUAUUCCGUUGUCAGAGGUGAAAUUCUUGGAUUUACGGAAGACGAACAUCUGCGAAAGCAUUUGCCAAGGAUGUUUUCAUUGAUCAAGAACGAAAGUUGGGGGCUCGAAGACGAUUAGAUACCGUCGUAGUCUCAACCAUAAACGAUGCCGACUAGGGAUUGGAGGAAGUUUUUUUGAUGACUCCUCCAGCACCACAUGAGAAAUCAAAGUUUUUGGGUUCCGGGGGGAGUAUGGUCGCAAGGCUGAAACUUAAAGGAAUUG
rnacentral:rRNA from 1 species